CGAAAUUGUAUUUCGUGCGAGUGUGCGCAUGUGCUUGCGCACAUGCCCUCUUUGGUAGCCUCACCUUCAGUCCAUCAGACACGAUCUCUCAAAGACCCGAGCGAGACCUUUGCUGCGCCACCAACCCCCCGUUCCCCACUCUUGUAUACGUAGGAGUGAUUUGCUGGAAGGCCAAGAGGCAGCCGACCAUCAGGGCCACACGGCACGCCGUCAUCAUGCGACGACUGCUGGGUCGCUCGAUGUGGGCCGAUCCCGCCACCAUCCGUGCCGCCGCUGGGUCUUCGAUGCGCUUCAUGAGGAACACACGUACAGCACCCUCCGCAACCGCGCCGUUUUUACGCCGCUGGCAGCUCCCGUCCACGCGACUCUCGUCCUCCUGCGCGUUUGUGCAGACUGAUCGCCGCUGGCAGAGCGACAGCGCCGGGCAGCAGGAUUUGUAUGUGGUGCUGGGGGUGAGGCCGGACGCCACGCAGGAUGAAAUCAAGGCCGCGUACAAGAAGUUAGCUCUCGAGUACCACCCAGACCGCAAUCACCAGCCGGGCGCGGAGGAGAAGUUUAAGUCGAUCUCGGCCGCGUACAGCGUCGUUGGCAACAGAGAGAAGCGCCGCGAGUACGACGCGCAGCGAGCGAUGUCGAGGGGCAUGGGCGGUGGGUCGUACAACAGCGGCAGCAGCGGCCGUGCUGCUAGCGGGUACUCUGCCGGCUUUCCGGGCGGCAUGGACCGUGGCAACUACCAGUACCAUCAGAUGUCCAAAGAGGAAGCCGAUCAGCUCUUCCGUGAGCUCUUCGGCGGCAUGCGUGUCGACCAAAUUUUCCGCAACCUGGAGGAAGAGAUGCGGCUCGGAGGCAUCAAAGGAAACGGACUGGGCGGCCAUGUUGGCCGCAGUUUCCCGGACUCGGAGCAGGCGUUCCGACCCUUCUUCAGCGUAGAGAGUAGCACGGCGAACGUCUUUGUAGACGAUCACGGGAACCGCAUGGAGGAGACGACGUACACUGACUCUCGUGGCAAGCGCUUCACGGUGCGCCGCAUGAGCAGCACCGACCCAAACGCGAGUGUUAAUCAAACCGCCGACGAGUUUUACCGUGGACGGCACGCCGGAAAGGACGGCCGCUACCGAUUCGGCAACGUCUCCUCCCAGUUCCAGCGACCCGACAACGACUUUACGCAGAAUAUGCUCGGUGUCCGCUCCCACGGCCGCAGUCCGCUGGUGGCCUUCCUCAUCCUUGCCGCGUGGACAGUGAUGCUGGGCACUCUUCUGUUCUGCUGCAUUGGCUUCCUUACUCGGCACCCGCUGUUCUUUGCGUCCGUUCUGGUGUUGAUCCUUCUCGGCCGCGCGGCCCGCCCCUUCUGAUUGCCGCCGCGCACGGUGGAAGCGGGCACACAAUGGGUCGAAAGCUUGCUGACGUUGGAAUUGCUUCUGCCUGUGUGGUGCGUGAUCGAGUACAGUGCGCCCUUCUGAAACCUGGCCGUCUGCGCCUCGAUGCAGGGAGCCUCGUUCGAGCGACGCGGCGUGCCUGACGUCAUCUGGGGUUCGCGUGAAUUUGUGAUGAUUGCGAGUUUGUACGCGUGUGUGUGUGUGCACGGACAGAUUGAUGCUUGUAGGCCUGUGAGUUCCUGUGCCCGUGCCAGCACUCUUUGCUGCCUGUGCACCUGCGGCGAGCGGUGACGUUGCAGGGAAGUUGUCCGAUCGUUCGUUUUGUUGUUGUUCCCUCCUUCGGUGAUCCCUCCUUCCCUCCCCCCACAACCACGCUUUUGUUGCACCCGCCCGUCCAUGCAUCUCAUCCGCGCCGCGAAGGUUUGCCGCCGCGUGGGAACUCGCGAGGCGACUGUCUUCGUUCUGCGCACCACUCUUUAUGUGCGUACUUUCCACAGCGUGCGUCUGUGGAGGAGGCACCGAUGAGCUAGAGGCCAAGAAAGCCGACGAUUGUGUGCAGAUGGCGCCAAGGAGCGCGUGUGUGACGUGGGAGAGGGCGAUGUGCCGAGCAGGAAGAAGCGGAGGCGGCAAGGGGGGGCGAUAGCGAUGGUUGCUCGUACUCGUGUUUUCUUUGUUUCAUUGAUCACUCACAAGCGAGAACGCG
rnacentral:misc_RNA from 1 species